rnacentral:lncRNA from 1 species
GGACAUUUGUGAAUGCAAAAUACAGAAGAAAUUGAGAACUGAGUUAUUUCUAUUGUGUUGCUUCUGGCAAAUACUUUCUAAGAAAGGGAAAACAAAAUACUGCCGAGGAGGUGUUUCUUCCUGCAUCAAAGUCAUCCUUUGGCAGAUUGGGCGGAGAACACCACAUUGUUUAUUUGGUGAGGUCUGUGUAAAUGAGAAUUAAAGGUGGGAAAAAUAUUUUUCUUUAAUAUUUUUACUGAACAUUCACUUUUCAUUUUGUUCAUAGCAACUGAGCAAAGGGUUGGGUUUUGGUAUUCCUGGGUUUUCUUCCAGCUUGAAAUUGCAAAACCUAAAAUCGCAAAUGCAAGAAAGAAACAAAAACCGUCCAGAGAGGCUGGAGCAGUGGAAAGGGAGGAGGAAAGGCAUUUUCCCCCAGUCUGCUGUGUCCUUGAGGAAAUUCUGGAGG